rnacentral:rRNA from 1 species
AACGUAGGUGGCGAGCGUUAUCCGGAUUUACUGGGCGUAAAGCGUGCGCAGGCGGUUCGUUAUGUCCGAUGUGAAAGCCCCGAGCUCAACUUGGGAAUGGCAUUGGAAACUGGCGGGCUGGAGUGUGGCAGAGGGGGGGUGGAAUUCCGCGUGUAGCAGUGAAAUGCGUAGAUAUGCGGAGGAACACCGAUGGCGAAGGCAAUCCCCUGGGCCUGCACUGACGCUCAUGCACGAAAGCGUGGGGAGCAAACAGG